rnacentral:lncRNA from 1 species
CAAUUCAAGGAAAAGGCAUCCUUGAUGGAAGAGGCUCAGGGUGGUGGCAAGAUGCCCCGUAUGAAGAUCCCUAUGAUGAUGAAAGAAAACUCAUAAUUCCAUUAAACAGCACAGUUCAAGAAAGGCCACCAAUGCCGGUAAUCACCUACUUCAGUUUCAACUUGCCCCUGGAAUUUUAUGUUCAUGGUCUGUAACUUAAUCAUGUUUCUCCUAUAAAUUGGACAAUAGGUCAGAAAUGAACUCAGUGGAAAAAUGCCGAGCAUCAAACCAACUGUAAGGGGCACUUGAAACUAUAAAAAAACCAAUCAUAUUCCAUGACCAGGCAGCCAUAUGACAUUUUUCUUACCUUCCGUUGUACAGGCACUUAGGUUUUAUGGGAGUUUUAACGUGACAGUCACGGGCAUAACAAUUCAAAACAGUCCUCAAUGCCAUCUCAAGUUCGAUAAUUGCAUGGGAGUUGUGGUGCACGAUAUUAC